CACGUAGGGUGCGAGCGUUGUCCGGAAUUAUUGGGCGUAAAGAGCUCGUAGGCGGUGUGUCGCGUCGGCCGUGAAAACCUGCAGCUUAACUGUGGGCUUGCGGUCGAUACGGGCAUCACUGGAGUUCGGCAGGGGAGACUGGAAUUCCUGGUGUAGCGGUGAAAUGCGCAGUUAUCAGGAGGAACACCAACGGCGAAGGCAGCACUCUGGGCCGGAACUGACGCUGAGGAGCGAAAGCGUGGGUAGCGAACAGG
rnacentral:rRNA from 1 species